rnacentral:rRNA from 1 species
CCCUUAGAUGUUCUGGGCCGCACGCGUGCUACACUGAGUGGAUCAGCGGGUCAGGUUGCGCGAAAGCGUUUCCUAAUCUUUAAAUCCGCUCGUGAUGGGGAUUGACGGUUGCAAUUUUCUGUCAUGAACGAGGAAUACCUUGUAAGCGCGGGUCAUCAUCCCGCGCUGAAUACGUCCCUGCCCUUUGUACACACCGCCCGUCGCUCCUACCGAUUGAGUGGUCCGGUGAGGCUUUGGGAUCUGAGCGGAAAGAGCGUUUCGCUGUUUCUGCUCGGAAAACUCAGUCGAACCUUAUCAUUUAGAGGAAGGAGAAGUCGUAAAA